CAAGACAGGAAGUAAGCAUUUUCAUGUGGGAGAAGAUAUGAAAUUAUAAAAAAAUGGAGGAGUGUACAACAGCGUCACACUGCUGAAGGAAACAAAAGGAGGAGAACUCAAGCAGGUGAAAGAGUAUGUGUGAAGUCUGAUAGAGAAAUAAGCAGAUGUGAAAAACAUUUGACACUCCACAAAUCAGCAUGUCUUACUUUAUCCUCAAGACUUGGAUAAAGUCAGUCUAAAUUUAUAAUACGGAAAAAGAAUACAUGACAUUUCAGAAUUGCUUUUGAAAAUGCUACUUUGAAGGUACUUUUACUACAAGUGCAUUGAAGUGCGCAUAACCCGUGAGUAUAGAGAUAAAGGACGUUUAAAGGUGAGAGAAGAGAAGUCUGACCGAAGAUUUGUAGCGAUGGCGAACAGUUGGACAUUGACGGUGGUCGUCCUCCUGAGUAUCUUUGUGGCAAAAAGUCAGACAAGAGGAGAUCAAGACACUGGAUCACAUCAGAAUAAAGAUUCUGCACUUGAAAAACUGACAGAUUUCCAAGAGCAGACCUUUAUUUCGGGCCGCGAUGUGACUUUACGAUGUGGCAAUCGCACUGUUGUCAAGUGGAAUGAAUUAAUUUAUAUCGUCUGGAACAUUAGCCUGCAAGACAGAAAAUGUCGGCUUGGUUUGUCACCCAAGCUGGACGACACAUGCAAAGAUGGAAAGAAGCUGUACAACACUUCAGAUGGAGUUUCCCUAUUCAUUCCCAAGAUUUCAAUAGAAGAUGAAGGAUCUUACUUUUGUGAUGUAUCAUAUAAAGGAGGAAGCUAUGCACUAAAUGUGACUGUAAGCGUUACCAACGUUUCCACCUGGCUGUACAAAGAAAACAAUCAAAGGAUUGCUGUCUGUAAAUCUACAUAUAAAAUGAAAGCACCCACUCUUCAUUGGGAACCUGCCUUGAACUUUUCCUCCAACAUCAGUUCUGUCAAGAAGCUUGGCAAGUUUUUUAUGCUGGAGAAUCAAGUAUAUCUGCCGGAAAAUCUCAACAUCAGUGAGCUCACUUGUGUGGCCACAUACACCUCUGAGUCCAGCCCUGUGCAGCACAAGAGCACACUUAUUACAGGUUCACAAAACUCAAAUCCCCCAUCUCCUUGGAGAGAUAUUGGCAUAUCAGUUGGCUCUGUUUGUCUUGCUCUUGUAGCCCUGGUCGUGUUUUACAAACUACGCAGAAAGAUUUAUGACUUGAGUGCAUUGAAGAUGCUUUGCUGCAAAUCCAAAAUCUCAACACCAGCUGAAGACAAACCAACCCCGCCCGCUGAUGUUGAAGAGGUGGAACCCUAUGCAAGUUACAUACAGAGAGUCAAUUCUAUCUACAACUCCUCAGCUGAACUCUUCAACGCUUGAGAGACACUCACUUUUCAUGAUGAAACAGGAUACCAGAAGAGAACCGAGGGCAAAGAUAUGCCUGUGGUCAAAAUUACACAUGAAAAACAAUACUAGUGGAAAAUAGUCAUCUCAAGAGAGCAUCCCCAAAGCAAACAGCGCCUGACUGAGGAGCAAAAGUCACACUGAGUCAAAAGAUGAAAGGUGAUGACAAAGAAACAUUUGUCUUAGUAUGUAAUGAGCAAUAACUGGGACAUCUUCAGCGUCAGCGAUAUCACUUAUACUGUAUGUAGAUUUGUAGAGAAAGAACUUGGUUAGAUAUUAAUAAUUUGAACAAAUCAAAUUUGUACAUAUUUAUAUCAGAGUGAAUCAAAAAUCAAAAAGCAGGCCUAAAGUGUAAAGAACCUAUUUUACAUUGCACAUAAUUAAAAGUAUGUAAAUAAACUUAUUGUACUUUUCA
ensembl:lncRNA